UAUAAUAUGUGUGACGAACAUAAUGCUGCAAAAGCCAAGAGGUACCUGCAGGCGUGGAUCCAGAUGGCUAUAAGGAGCUUUAGCCCUAUAUUUAGUAAUGUUAUAAUGUAGCUAUAUGUGUGAUAACUAUUAUUGUAAUGUUAUCUAUAUAAUAUCACACUAGCAUAGAUGUCAAUUUAUUAUGUCUAAAAUUGGAAUUGGAUUUUUCUGGAAGAUUUCAGAUUCCUAGAUCUGCGCUUGAGAGUUGCAUAACGUCUUUUGGAAAUGACGCGCUGCCGCUCAUCGUCGAAGCGUCUCCUACGGUCGUCGCAGAUACCUGAACCAGUCGCUGCCGCUGCCGUCUUGUGUUCGCUGUUGCUUCUUCUUGUGUACAUCCCGUCCACCAGAUCCUUUAGCAUUU